AGGACGGAAGGGAGAAGGGCGUG
rnacentral:miRNA from 1 species